rnacentral:lncRNA from 1 species
AAGAAAGGGAAGUGGAUGCCGGGUGACAAGAUAAAGAAACAAAAACAAAUUGAAACAACAAACCCACAAAUGUCCACAACAUCAGCCUUGUUGAUAAGAUGCUUUAAUAAGGCUCCUGCUCAUACAGAAGAAGGAAGCAACUCUAUGUAAUGCAGGAUUGCAGUGGGAAGAGGGUAUCUGACACUGUUGGCCAUCAGGAAUCAGUCAAGAAUGUGGAUAAAUCUCCUGCAAUCCAUCUUUCCACCAAGAAAUACCUCAGAGCACAUCCCUGCUGAUGGGUUCUUGUGGAUUAAAUGAGAAAAUGAACGUACAGUGCAUGCCUGACAUUCAGGUGUGGCUAUAUGCCAUCUCAGUGGCUUUCCCUGGUUUUGGAGACAGUCCCUGAGCAGAAAAGCUGGAGAGUCUUUGGUAGAAGCUUGAGUUUGGGAAUCUGGCACUGCACUCAGAAGCAGAACUGCCCACCAUAGCAGAGCUAAAAUCAG